UCUUGACUAGUAUAUCGGUUAGUACACGCGCUUGUCAUCACCCAAAUAUCUGUGUUACGCGCGAAAGCUGGGUUCGACUCCCAGGUCGAGAG